UACAGAGGGCUCAAGCGUUGUUCGGAUUCAUUGGGCGUAAAGGGUGCGUAGGCGGCUUGGUAUGUCGGGUGUGAAAUCCCCGGGCUCAACCUGGGAACUGCAUCCGAAACUGCCUUGCUCGAGUAUGGGAGAGGGAAGUGGAAUUUCCGGUGUAGCGGUGAAAUGCGUAGAUAUCGAGAGGAACACCUGCGGCGAAGGCGGGUUGCUGGGCUGACACUGACGCUGAGGCGCGAAAGCCAGGGGAGCGAACAGG
rnacentral:rRNA from 1 species